rnacentral:lncRNA from 1 species
UCUCUCUCUCUCUCUCUCUCUCUCUCUCACAGUCAAUCGGUCUUGAUUAAUGGGCAUCCCUUCCAUCUACCACUCGACGUGCAUCUUAGCAUGACUUAAGGAUCCAACAAUGGUCGCGUGCAUGAAUCGACUAAUUUGAACUUGCAUAUAACAUGCCAAGAUAGGAAUUUCUAAGUACUCAGAGCUUGUAGUUUUGGAACUCUACCAAGGAAAAAGGUGUUCAUAUAGACGUGGUGUUCCCUAUACACCAUGUCAUGAACCCUCUGUACUAGUUGCAUCAACCAUGCAUGCAUGCAUACCUAACAUG